rnacentral:rRNA from 1 species
GCGGAGGAAAAGAAACUAACAAGGAUUCCCCUAGUAACGGCGAGUGAAGAGGGAAGAGCUCAAAUUUAAAAUCUGGCGGUCUAAGGCCGUCCGAGUUGUAAUCUAGAGAAGUGUUUUCCGUGCCGGACCGUGUACAAGUCCCUUGGAACAGGGCGUCAUAGAGGGUGAGAAUCCCGUCCAUGACACGGACUACCGGUGCACUGUGAUACACUUUCGAAGAGUCGAGUUGUUUGGGAAUGCAGCUCAAAAUGGGUGGUAAAUUCCAUCUAAAGCUAAAUACAGGCGAGAGACCGAUAGCGAACAAGUACCGUGAGGGAAAGAUGAAAAGAACUUUGGAAAGAGAGUUAAACAGUACGUGAAAUUGUUGAAAGGGAAACGCUUGAAGUCAGUCGCGUCCGCAGGGACUCAGCCUUGCUUUUGCUUGGUGUACUUCUCUGUGGAUGGGCCAGCAUCGAUUUUAGUCGCCGGAAAAGGGCGGGAGGAAUGUGGCAGCUUGCUGUGUUAUAGCCUCUCGUCGUACACGGUGGCCGGGAUCGAGGACUGCAGCACGCCUUUUGGUCGGGGUUCGCCCACGCCACGUGCUUAGGAUGCUGGCGUAAUGGCUUUAAACGACCCGUCUUG